AGAAACAUCGCUCAUCUCGCAGCACUCAUGGAAGAAAAAAGAGGCACUCAGACGCACAAGCCUGUGUAGUUUCGAUCCACAUUCGGCGGGAACAGCAGUUUAAAUUUAAACAACCAACGGUCUAGAUGUAGAAAAGAAAGUCCCGCCUUAAAGCAAUGGCGGCUCGUGGAGCCUCUCAAUAGUUCCCGGAAGUAGCAGCAAACACCGUAGAGAUGCAUCAGAACAAACCGUUUGCGACGCACUUUUAAAAGUGGGGAAGCCAUACAUUCGCACACCUUUCUCUGAGCGAUUGGAGCAUCCCCAUGCAGCACAGCAAACCAUGGUGAAGACUAUGCAAUGACAACAUGAAAGAAAGGACACAUACAAAAUGCUUGGCAUGC